UACGGGGGGAGCAAGCGUUGUUCGGAUUUACUGGGCGUAAAUGGCGCGUAGGCUGCCACCGCAAGUCAAUUGUGAAAUCUCCGGGCUUAACUCGGAAAGGUCAACUGAUACUGCGGGGCUAGAGUGCGGAAGGGGCAACUGGAAUUCUCGGUGUAGCGGUGAAAUGCGUAGAUAUCGAGAGGAACACCUGCGGCGAAGGCGGGUUGCUGGGCCGACACUGACGCUGAGGCGCGAAAGCCAGGGGAGCGAACGGG
rnacentral:rRNA from 1 species